CCGAGUAGCUGGAACUACAGGCGCCCGCCAUGAUGCCCGGCUCAUUUUCUGUGUUUUCAGUAGAGACGGGGUUUCACUGUGUUAGCCAGGAAAGUCUUGAUCUCCUGACCUCGUGAUCCUGACCUCGGCCUCCCAAAGUGCUGGGAUUACAGGCGCGAGCCACCGCGCCCGACAGCAGUUAUGAAGUUCUAAAAGCAAGUCUUAAUCAGGAAGUGUCCUUGAUCACCAACGGCUCGCCCAGGCAUGCUGGCUCUCUUCCACUUCCACCUUCCACCAUGGGAUGACGCAGUAAGAAGGCCAUCAGUAGAUGCCAGUCCCUCAACCUUGAACUUUCCAGACGCAGAACUUUAUGCCUCCAUUUUCCUCUGCUGCAUGGCCCCAGGAGAGAUUUUAAUUAGCUUUCUAACCUUGGUCCAGAUUGCACAUGCAAAUGGUAGAGGAUGCAACACCCCCGCUUGUGGAGCUGCCGCUUGUGUCUGGCAUGAAAAUUCACAAGAAGAGAGGAAAUACUGAGGAGAAAAUGGCAGAUUGUGUUUGCUGAAUUUGAUUGACGAAGAAGUCACCAUGAAAAUCACAGUGAACCAUUUGGAAAGCAAACUGCCAAAAAAUAAUAGUUAGUCAUGCUCUCAGGCUGGUUGUUUUGGCUGUUGUGGGUUUCUUGCAUUUCCAGAUGAUUGCAAAGAGCUGUUUCUCAAUUUCUGCAACAAGUGCCAGCUGAAAUUUUGGUACCAGUUUCAUUAAAUAUGUAGAACAAUUUGAGCCUGAGUGAGUUCUGUGGAGCCCAUACUACCUGCGAUUCAAGCCAGCAACCUUGGAAUCUCCCUGAACAAUUUCUAUGGUGUCCAAUCACAUUUGCAAUCACUCCCCACACUCAGUAGGUUCUGCCCCCACAUCAUUUCUUUUCUCUAUCCUCUUUCCCAGCUUUAUAAUAUGACUUAGUUCAAGCCCUAAUCACUGGAUUAUUCAAAGUCCCUUAACAGGUUAAUUCCUACUGUGAUCAACACUUUAAAGGAAGGCAAUAGGGCCAGGCAUGGUGGCUCACGGCUGUAAUCCCAGCACUUUGGGAGGCUGAGGCGAGUGGAUCACAAGGUCGGGAGUUUGAGACCAGCCUGACUAACACAGUGAAACCCCGACUCUACUAAAAAUACAAAAAAUUAGCCAGGUGUGGUCGUGGGUACCUGUAGUCCCAGCUACUAGGGAGGCUGAGGCAGGAGAAUGGCGUGAACCCGAGAGGCGGAGCUUGCAGUGAGCCAAGAUUACGCCACUGCACUCCAGCCUGGGUGACGGAGCGAGACUCCAUCUCAAAAAAAAUAAAAAAUAAAUAAAACAGAAAGGCAAUGGCUAUCCCAAAUUGCUGAAGCCUUUGCUAAAAGCACAGACAGAAAACAACAAUAUGGUGAUGUUUGUGUUAAACAAAUGUUAUUGAUUCUAGGACACAGGUCAGAUGGCAAAUAGUCAAACUCAAAUGUUGAUCCCAGGGGUGGCUGUAUCAUCACUAAGGCCAAAUCACAACUUUGACUGGUCUCAUGGGAACACAGAUCUUGGGUUUGGAAAGAGCACAGGCCUGGCCAUGGGAAUGGACACAGGGUAAUUUUAAGAUGACUAGAGGUUCCUCAAACCCUAAAAGUACCACUGAACCUUGUUUAAAGCUAAAAUGGCUCCUAAAUGAUAGACACGUUUCUCAGUUAUCUCUGCAAACUGAAGAUCCUAUCAGCCUGUUCAGGGUCUCACAGGCCUCUGGGUUUGUACAUGAUGUCCCUACAGUGGCGAUGGGGACUGAUGAGAGCCACCGUUCCCAUUGGAGGAGGGCAAGCUGCCACUGAGUGUCAGCUGCUGGAGUAAACAUCCAAUCACAUGUGUACCUGUAUCCUAUGGAUAUUGGCUUCCCCUCAUACAACUUGUUGUUCCUUUGUUUUCCAUUCCUGACUAUAUUUGAAUCUUUCUUGGAUUUCCAGGAAACAUCUGACUGCUUUCCUAUGCCACUUCAUACCCAAGAGAAGCUCAGGGAGAUCCUUUAAGGUCCUUUAUGCCCAUUAUGAUAGUACAUGAAUAGGUAAAUGUACCACUGCUCCCUGUACUUCUUGGAUAAUGCACAAAUAGUAAGACAGUCUCGCAACCAGCAGCCUAGACAGCCCAAAUAUGUGAAACCAAAACAGCUUGAUCUUCCAGACCUGUUCUGACUCCUUGAGUCUUAAAUCUCCAAGCCUCUUGAAUGUUUCACCCACAGCCUUCCCUUUGGGAUCUGGCAUGGGACAGGAAGGGCAGAGAAGGGCCUGGGGCUUUUCCUCAGGGAUCCACCACAGUCUAGGCCAGUGGGUGGCAAACUUUUUCUGCAAAGGAUCAGCUGGGAGAUAGUUUCAACUUUGUAGUCUCGUCGCAGCUACUCUACUCGACUCUGCCACUGGAGUGUGAAUGCAGUCAUGAAUAAAAGAAUGAAAGUUUUCCAGUGAAACUUUAGUCACAAAAACAGUCUGCAGGCUGUGUCUGGCCCGUGGGCUUUGGUUUGCUGGCCUGCGGGCUCCUAGAAGGCUCUGACUUUAUCCCUCUAUGAGGGAAAGCAGGUUUUGGGGUAUUCUCCCAAAUCUUUAUACCUUAUGUCUGUGUCUCUUUUUAAAUUAAAAGUAAAAUUUAGGCC
rnacentral:lncRNA from 1 species